GAUGAACGCUGACAGCAUGCUUAACACAUGCAAGUCGACUUGAACUUCGGUUUGGGUGGCGGACGGGUGAGUAACGCGUAAAGAACUUGCCUCACAGCUAGGGACAACAUUUGGAAACGCAUGCUAAUACCUGAUAUUAUGAUUUUAGGGCAUCCUAGAAUUAUGAAAGCUAUAUGCGCUGUGAGAGAGCUUUGCGUCCCAUUAGCUAGUUGGAGAGGUAACGGCUCACCAAGGCGAUGAUGGGUAGCCGGCCUGAGAGGGUGAACGGCCACAAGGGGACUGAGACACGGCCCUUACUCCUACGGGAGGCAGCAGUGGGGAAUAUUGGACAAUGGACCAAGAGUCUGAUCCAGCAAUUCUGUGUGCACGAUGAAGUUUUUCGGAAUGUAAAGUGCUUUCAGUUGGGAAGAAAAAAAUGACGGUACCAACAGAAGAAGUGACGGCUAAAUACGUG
rnacentral:rRNA from 1 species